UUUUAGCACAUUUUUGCAACGCGACGCGUUUGUGUAGCUUCUGCUAAAAUUUUUUUUACGGUGACAAAAACAACAUUAAAGCCAAACGCAAAAAGCCAUUUUGUUGUGUGCGUGUGCAUCCUGUGCAACACAAAUCGUUGCUAAUAGGAUACUUUUUUUUUGUUUGUUUUUGUUGUUAGCCAAAUAAGCUGCCUCUCCAGCACUAACGGAUUGCAGCUGCAAAGCAAAAAGACAAACUUAACCUCGCAGCGUUUGCAAAAAAAGAAGAAAAGAAAGAAAAACGCAAAGCAAAGUGGCUAAGAAAGAAGAGAGAGAGCGAGCUACUUGUGUAAAGAAAAGUGUUUGUUACAGUACCUAUUUUUCCAUCCCCCUGCCCAUUCAUCCGAUUGUUUGACAUCAAAAUUCCAACAACAACAAAAUAUAAGUAAAAUAAACGGCAAGUGAAACAAAAACGAAAUAAAAAAAACACCAAACACCGGCAAGCAAAGCAAAAAGUCACACAUACAUAUGCACAUAUGUGUGUAUGUCUGUAUGUAUGCAUUAAUGUUACUUUGGAAUGUUUUUGUAUAAAGGAUAUUGCGAUUUGUAUGUAAACAUUGCUAUUUAGCCGGCUUUGCUAAGAGAGCGUCAAAUUCGUGGAACAUUCGAUGUUUUUGCAUUUCUAUGGACUGCGAUAAUUUAACCCUAGAUAGCCUGUCUCUCAAAGUUUCCAAUUGGAUUUCCCAGUUUGCUAAUUGGCAACAGCUGUGCAACAUGCAAAUCUUGAUAAAAGCCAACUUUGGUUUUACAUUGAAAACCUUAUUUGCCACACGAUCGUCAUGGCGUUGACAAUUGUUGUUAUUGCGGUUGCCUCUCGACUCAGGCGAUUCGAUUGCAAACAGUACAAUAUUAAUAACAUUAUUAAUUGAUAAAAACAAGUCAAAAAAAAAAACAAAUCAAAAAACAAAUUUCGGGCAGACACACAAAAACAAAAAUUUAUAAAAACGUAAACAAUCAAAAACUCAAACAAAUCGGAAAACUUGAACGAAGGAAUAAAAUGGAUCAUUUUCAAACCUCGCUGAAUCCGCGCAAACAGGAGCUGCUCGAAGCACGUUUUAUUGGCGUCAGGGUGAGUUUCUCUUGCAACUAGAACCAAUUUCCAGCUGAAAUCCAGCCAUCCAAUGAAUCGGGCCUACGCAAAAAAAAAAAAAGAAAAGAAAAGAAACAAA